AGAGUUUGAUCAUGGCUCAGGACUAACGCUGGCGGCGUGCCUAACACAUGCAAGUCGAGCGGGGUAGCAAUACCCAGCGGCAGACGGGUGAGUAACGCGUGGUCAACCUUCCGUUGAAUGGGGGAUAACUAGCCGAAAGGUUAGCUAAUACCGCAUACGAUCUUUUGAAGGCAUCUUUAAAAGAUGAAAGGAGCAAUCCGUUCAACGACGGGACCGCGUCCCAUUAGCUAGAUGGUGGGGUAAUGGCCUACCAUGGCAACGAUGGGUAGCUGGUUUGAGAGAGCGACCAGCCACACUGGGACUGAGAAACGGCCCAGACUCCUACGGGAGGCAGCAGUGAGGAAUUUUCCGCAAUGGGCGAAAGCCUGACGGAGCGACGCCGCGUGUGGGAAGAAGGCCUUCGGGUCGUAAACCACUGUCGAAGGGGACGAUAAUGACGGUACCCUUGGAGGAAGCCCCGGCUAACUACGUGCCAGCCGCCGCGGUAAUAC
rnacentral:rRNA from 1 species